rnacentral:misc_RNA from 1 species
UCUCCGUAGGUGAACCUGCGGAAGGAUCAUUAUCGUACAAAAGGUGAGGGGCAUGCGAGGGCUGUCGCUAGCCAUCAAGUCGUGCACGCCCGAGUGUGUCCCCUUGCAUAAUAAUCCAGCUCACCCUUUGUGCGUCACCGCGUGGGCACCCUUCGGGAUCAUCUCGGAGGGGGGCUCGCGUUUUCACACAAACCCCCCUUUUGAAAGUGUAGUAUGUCCACAUUUAUGCAAUAAAUACAACUUUCAACAACGGAUCUCUUGGCUCUC